GUUUUUAUGAGGAUCAAGAGGAGAAGCAAACACCUUCCUGAAGCACCUGCUCUGUGCUCCUCUCCAAGGCACUUUACAUACAAGAUUUGACUACAGUUUCAAGACAGCCGACUCUGGAUCCAAGCAGCCUAUGUUCCAGUCCUGACACCACUACUGUAUAAUCUUGAGCAAGUGGUCUAAACUUCUCUGAAGACUCAGUUUCCUCAUCAUCUAUAAAACUGGCAUAAUAAUGGCACCAACCUCCAAGGUGGUUGUGAGGUUAAAUGAGAUCACAGAAUAAAGAAAUCAACCUAAC
rnacentral:lncRNA from 1 species